rnacentral:rRNA from 1 species
UACGGGGGUGGCAAGCGUUACUCGGAUUUAUUGGGUGUAAAGGACAGGUAGGCGGCUAUACAAGUUGAUGGUGAAAUCCUAAGGCUCAACCUUAGAACUGCCUUCAAAACUGUAUGGCUUGAGGCCGGAAGAGGAAAGCGGAAUUCCCGGUGUAAGGGUGAAAUCUGUAGAUAUCGGGAGGAACACCAGUGGCGAAAGCGGCUUUCUGGUCCGGAUCUGACGCUAAGCUGUGAAAGCUCGGGGAGCAAAC